CGCACAAGUAAAUAGCACGUUGGUCUCAAAUAAGACAUUGAUACAAUGCAACAUUUGCCGUCAUUAUUUGAAAAUAUUGAUUAAGAAGGUUGUCAGCAAGAUGAAAAGAAUAAAUAUGCAGUUAAAAGUCAAAAUGUGGAUAAGCUUCAAGGUUCAAGGUCCUACUUUUGCAGAUUUUCAUAUUUUGCAUGAAUGAAUUUAAAGUUUUUAUCAUGGAUGGCAGUGAAAGAAAAAAAAAUCUUUUCAAUUUUCCUGCUACAAAGGAUAAAUGUAAAGACAUCUUGUUUUCGAAGGAUUGAAAUGCAUCACCUAGAAUAAAUGAAGAAAACAUAGAAACAAGACCAGAAUACAUUCAAAGACAAUGUUGGAUCAGUUAUUAUUUUCAUCAGUCAGUCAAUGAUUUAGAGUUCUUUAAAAUACCAAACGAUCUUGAAACCACAAUAAUGUCAAUGUUCUUUGCUGAAUGACAAAAAAGUGGACUAUACAAACACACAGUGCUUGAUGAUAAGAAACUAUUAAUGUUUUGUGUGGAGGGAUAUUGUGAAAAAAAAUACAUUUACUUAAAUAGCUACUAGUAUGUUUAGCCAAUAAUAGAG